UAGCCUCGAUUCAAGGCCGCUUUAGAAGCGGCCUGGUAUACCUUGUAUGCGCAUGCGCUUACAUUACCCCAAAAAGGGGGUAAUCCGUGUAUUUGUGGAUACUGUCAGUAAAAUAAACACGUAUACUAUUUUGUAUUCUAAUUUUAGUGGUCCGUGUUACACACUUUACAUAUAGCAAAGAUGACUAGCUCGACUGACACUGAGUUCUCUUCCGCUCUGGCUUAUGCCCUUUCUUGUGUGAAGAGAAGUCAUUUAGUUCUGAGGGAUAAACAGCUUGACACUCUACGGAUGCUGUACGAAGGGAAUGAUGUUUUCCUGUGGGUUCCUACUGGAUAUGAAAGUCUAUCUGCUACCAAACUUUGCCUUUUUAAUUCGACAAGAAGCUGGAUAGAAUUAGUUCUCCUCCUAGUGAGCGUAGUAUUGUCCCCUAGUGUCUCUAAUGGUAGAUCAAGUGACUAGUCUACAUGAUCGUGGUGUUCCUGCUGGUAUACUCAGUGGAAACAAAGGGGUCGAUAAGAAGUCCAAGUGAGUGCUUCACCUACCCCCAGAAUACUCAUAAGGCAGUGCCAGUCCUCUAUACAAGGCUCUAACUGCUCCAAUUGUCCACUGCGAGUGUCCGCAUCUCGCAUAUGUUUUUUGCUACAUCGCUGUCUUUCACAAGUCAUCUGAUCGCCACCUGACAUAACAAACAUCAAGGACUACAACCUCAGAUUUUUUGGCCAUCUCUGUGCUGUGGGGGUGCUUAAUGUGACUGACAACACACCGUUUGUACCGCUGGAGGGGCUUGAUGUACUCGCACAGUAUUCGACCGACUAGAACGACCAAAUUUCUUGGAUGCCCUCAAUGUCGGCCUUUGUAGGAAGGAAGCAUCGAUAGGACGUUGGUACAGCUUGCUGAUUUUCGUGACCAACUUCAACACGGCACAGUAACUGAUAGUGACACUAAGAUGAUUCAACCUGGAGUAUACCUUUGAAGAGUACGAGAGACAGAAACGACUGAAUACCACACAUUCUUGUGUUACGCUCUUUCAAGAGAAUUGCUGUGGCCAUACACAUCCCAGGGUAGUGACUCUCUCCGCGUUUAUGCAAGUUCCUAUGAUCUGAACGUCCUACGAUCGUCUGGAUAAGCCUAAAUAGAAUCGGAGACUUUCGCUGUAGUUCAGACACAGCCUGUUUCCACGAUAACGCUUCCACAUUGUCAAUUGGAACCCGGUGAAAUAGAGAGACAAACUCCCCAGAGUUACGACAUAGAGUGGAACAUUCGUCGUCAAGAAUUUUCACCACACCCUCUACCAAUUGGUCCUUCAGUGAAGGGCAAGAAAAUGCUGCCUUGGCAAUAGACUGAAUGUUGCCACUAUUCAGUGCCUGGCGUAAUUUCUGGAGACUUUCAUCUACUUCCGCAGUCACUGUACUGGUAUCAGAUCUGUUAUCCUCACCAUAACUGUUUCAGUCGAACCAGGCUUGGAAAUAUCUCUUGCAACACCUUCUGAACCUUUAAGUUAAUGGCUAUAUAUUAAUUUACGUUCAUUUCGUUUGUAGGUGGUUUAACAUACCGUCAACAGAAGAAAACUGCUCGAGAUUGGUCAACUCUAACAGCGGUGGCUGACGAGGACAGUCUGUGUGCGCUAUGAAAAAGAGAUGAUUCCUGUCAUCUACAUAUAUGAUUUGUUGCAAUCAACCUACGUUCCUCCCUGGUUGAGAAAGCAAGCCUUCUUCCAGGUGCUCCUACUGUCAGACGUUUUGCUAGAGGUCUAGCAUGGACUGUGUGAGGUGAUGCUUCAAGCCCACUGGUGUCUUUAGUUCUCUUCCUACCUGAUACCAUAGGACUACAGAUGGAAGCCUUAUUUCGACCCUGCUCAAAACCACACUUAGCCAUACUUCUAAAGGCUUUAAGUUUAGACUCCAGAGACUGGAAUUUGUUUGUGCAAGCUCUACAAAUGUAUGAAGAUAGCCCAUCACACUCACUAACUGGCAGCUCUAGCAAUUUGCCAAGUCUGUCUGGAAGGCAUCUUUGAACAGACUCUUUGCUGAACAGAGCUGAGCAGCGAGUAGAAGUAACAAUGUUGCAGCACAAUCUGCAUAUUCUGGUGGCUGCCAUUGUCUUGAACAUUCUACCACCAACCACGCAGUCUUACAUAUUUUUCCUUUGUGUACUUUUUCCAAUUUUAUCACUUGCGUAAUACUGAUAAA